rnacentral:rRNA from 1 species
CCUACGGGCGGCAGCAGUGAGGAAUAUUGGUCAAUGGACGAGAGUCUGAACCAGCCAAGUAGCGUGAAGGAUGACUGCCCUAUGGGUUGUAAACUUCUUUUAUAUGGGAAUAAAAUGUUCCACGUGUGGGAUUUUGUAUGUACCAUAUGAAUAAGGAUCGGCUAACUCCGUGCCAGCAGCCGCGGUAAUACGGAGGAUCCGAGCGUUAUCCGGAUUUAUUGGGUUUAAAGGGAGCGUAGGUGGAUUGUUAAGUCAGUUGUGAAAGUUUGCGGCUCAACCGUAAAAUUGCAGUUGAAACUGGCAGUCUUGAGUACAGUAGAGGUGGGCGGAAUUCGUGGUGUAGCGGUGAAAUGCUUAGAUAUCACGAAGAACUCCGAUUGCGAAGGCAGUUCACUGGACUGCAACUGACACUGAGGCUCGAAAGUGUGGGUAUCAAACAGGAUUAGAUACCCUUGUAGUA